UCUCUAAGCAACGGAUGUCUUGGCUCCUCACACGAUGAAGAACGUGGCAUAAUGUGUUAAGUAACCGGAGUUGCAAACAUCAUGACAGGUUAAUCUUUGAAUGCAAAUUGCGCUUACCCGACUUCGGUCGAGGAGCAUGCGUGUAACAGUACAAACAUAAUUUAUAA
rnacentral:rRNA from 1 species